UUUCGAAUAAUGAAUUGGAAUAUCCAUAAUCCUCUGGGUAUAACCAUAUAUGAAGUAUUGGGGUAGACUGGUAGAGAUAUUGCUCCUCCGCGACCAUUUUUACCAGCUCCAGCUUUUGAAGAAACUGCUGUGAUAUCCUUGAAAGAAGAUAAUGUGACAUCAUCUUCAGUAAAGUCACAGUGAGCAGAGAGAGUGGUGAUUGUACGAGUCUUGUCGAUUGUUAUGGACUGGGGCAUGCUAUUGCUAUAAACUGGAGCUAAAUGAUUUCUGAUAAUAAGUUGCUGUAACCAUUUCUUGGUCUGGUAGUUUCUUUUGUUGUUUCAUGAUGGGGUCUGGGAAUCAGAUUGUCUCGGCUGAAUGGAGUGCUGUGUGCAUGGGCAACAUGAACAUGGUAACUUGGUAAGCCGUAACAUAAAGCAUUUACCAAAACUAUAAAUGGUAACCAUGGCAACAUCUCGUUUGAAAAAGAAAAGAAAAGAGAAUUGUAUGUAAGCCAGGAUGGCAAAGUGAUGUUGUUCAGACGCUGAACUUGGAAUGAAAACAAUAUAUUUUUUU